UACGUAAGGGGCAAGCGUUGUCCGGAAUUAUUGGGCGUAAAGAGCGCGUAGGCGGUCCGGUAAGUCGGCUGUGAAAGUCAAGGGCUCAACCCUUGAAAGCCGGCCGAUACUGUCGGACUAGAGUCCGGAAGAGGCGAGUGGAAUUCCCGGUGUAGCGGUGAAAUGCGCAGAUAUCGGGAGGAACACCAAUGGCGAAGGCAGCUCGCUGGGACGGUACUGACGCUGAGGAGCGAAAGCGUGGGGAGCGAACAGG
rnacentral:rRNA from 1 species